UACGUAGGGUGCAGGCGUUAAUCGGAAUUACUGGGCGUAAAGCGUGCGCAGGCGGUUUCUUAAGUCAGAUGUGAAAGCCCCGGGCUUAACCUGUGAACUGCGUUUGAAACUGGGAGACUAGAGUGUGGCAGAGGGGGGUGGAAUUCCACGUGUAGCAGUGAAAUGCGUAGAUAUGUGGAGGAACACCGAUGGCGAAGGCAGCCCCCUGGGUUAACACUGACGCUCAUGCACGAAAGCGUGGGGAGCAAACAGG
rnacentral:rRNA from 1 species